GGCGGCAUGCCUUACACAUGCAAGUCGAACGGCAGCACGGGGGCAACCCUGGUGGCGAGUGGCGAACGGGUGAGUAAUACAUCGGAACGUGUCCUGUAGUGGGGGAUAGCCCGGCGAAAGCCGGAUUAAUACCGCAUACGAUCUACGGAAGAAAGCGGGGGAUCGCAAGACCUCGCGCUAUAGGGGCGGCCGAUGGCAGAUUAGCUAGUUGGUGGGGUAAAGGCCUACCAAGGCGACGAUCUGUAGCUGGUCUGAGAGGACGACCAGCCACACUGGGACUGAGACACGGCCCAGACUCCUACGGGAGGCAGCAGUGGGGAAUUUUGGACAAUGGGGGAAACCCUGAUCCAGCAAUGCCGCGUGUGUGAAGAAGGCCUUCGGGUUGUAAAGCACUUUUGUCCGGAAAGAAAACCUUUGGGCUAAUACCCUGAGGGGAUGACNGUACCGGAAGAAUAAGCACCGGCUAACUAC
rnacentral:rRNA from 1 species